rnacentral:rRNA from 1 species
GACUGCCACCCUGAACAUGCCCAAUCUUGUCUGAUCUCGGAAGCUAAGCAGGGUCGGGCCUGGUUAGUACUUGGAUGGGAGACCACCAAGGAAGAUCGGGUGCUACAGGCU